UACGAAGGGGGCUAGCGUUGCUCGGAAUCACUGGGCGUAAAGCGCACGUAGGCGGCUUCUUAAGUCAGGGGUGAAAUCCCGGGGCUCAACCUCGGAACUGCCUUUGAUACUGCAAAUCUCGAGUCCGGAAGAGGUGAGUGGAAUUCCUAGUGUAGAGGUGAAAUUCGUAGAUAUUAGGAAGAACACCAGUGGCGAAGGCGGCUCACUGGUCCGGUACUGACGCUGAGGUGCGAAAGCGUGGGGAGCAAACAGG
rnacentral:rRNA from 1 species